rnacentral:rRNA from 1 species
CACGUAGGGGGCGAGCGUUGUCCGGAAUCAUUGGGCGUAAAGAGCUCGUAGGCGGCUCGGUAAGUCGGGUGUGAAACCCCCAGGCUCAACCUGGGGACGCCACCCGAUACUGCUGUGGCUAGAGUCCAGUAGGGGAGUGUGGAAUUCCCGGUGUAGCGGUGAAAUGCGCAGAUAUCGGGAGGAACACCAGCGGCGAAGGCGGCCAUCUGGGACAACACUGACGCUGAAGCACGAAAGCGUGGGGAGCAAACAGG